AUGGGAAGGAGAAAGCCUUUCCACAGCUGUCUUUUUGGCGGCGCUGACAUCCGGUGGCAGGUCGGCGUGGCUCGGAGAAGGAGGGGAAAGCGUCGAGGAUCCCAUUUUCCGCCAUGGCUUGGGAAGGGUUGCCGUGGGCCCUGACGUCGGAUACUCGGUAAGACAUUAAUAAUAUCGGCAGAGACGGGGGGACCUGUACGGCUUUGGGAGGAUGUUUAAG
rnacentral:lncRNA from 1 species